CCUACGGGUGGCAGCAGUAGGGAAUUUUCGGCAAUGGGCGGGACCCUGACCGAGCAACGCCGCGUGAACGAAGAAGUUAUUCGGAAUGUAAAGUUCUUUUAACAGGGAAGAAAGAGAAAUUUGACGGUACCUGAUGAAUAAGCCCCGGCUAACUACGUGCCAUCAGCCGCGGUAAUACGUAGGGAGCGAGCGUUAUCCGCAAUUAUUGGGCGUAAAGGGUGCGUAGAUGGCAUAGUAAGUCUUUUGUAAAAAUGCUGGGCUCAACCCAGUAGGGCAAAAGAUACUGCAAAGCUAGAGUAUGACAGAGGCAAGUGGAACUACAGGUGUAGCGGUAAAAUGCGUAGAUAUAUGUAAGAACACCAGUGGCGAAGGCGGCUUGCUGGGUCGAUACUGACAUUGAGGCACGAAAGCGUGGGGAGCAAACAGGAUUAGAUACCCCGGUAGUC
rnacentral:rRNA from 1 species